UUUUAGUAGCCACUUAGUCACAAACACUGGCCAAAGUUAGCAUUUUUUUGCAUUUCAAACACACAAACAAAUGUAAAUGCUAACUUUGGCCAGUGUUUGUGACUAAAUGGCUACUAAAAAAG